rnacentral:rRNA from 1 species
GACGAACGCUGGCGGCGUGCUUAACACAUGCAAGUCGAACGGAAAGGCCCUGCUUUUGUGGGGUGCUCGAGUGGCGAACGGGUGAGUAACACGUGAGUAACCUGCCCUUGACUUUGGGAUAACUUCAUGAAACUGGGGCUAAUACCGGAUAGGAGCUCCUGCUGCAUGGUGGGGGUUGGAAAGUUUCGGCGGUUGGGGAUGGACUCGCGGCUUAUCGGCUUGUUGGUGGGGUAGUGGCUUACCAAGGCUUUGACGGGUAGCCGGGCUGAGAGGGUGACCGGCCACAUUGGGACUGAGAUACGGCCCAGACUCCUACGGGAGGCAGCAGUGGGGAAUAUUGCACAAUGGGCUGAAGCAUGAUGCAGCAACGCCGCGUGCGGUAUGACGGCAUUCGGGUUGUAAACCGCUUUCGCCUGUGACGAAGCGUGAGUGACGGUAAUGGGUAAAGAAGCACCGGCUAACUACGUG